UACAGAGGUCUCAAGCGUUGUUCGGAUUCAUUGGGCGUAAAGGGUGCGUAGGUGGCGCGCUAAGUCAGGUGUGAAAUUUCGGAGCUUAACUCCGUAACUGCAUUUGAUACUGGUGUGCUUGAGGACUGGAGAGGAGACUGGAAUUCAUGGUGUAGCAGUGAAAUGCGUAGAGAUCAUGAGGAAGACCAGUGGCGAAGGCGGGUCUCUGGACAGUUCCUGACACUGAGGCACGAAGGCCAGGGGAGCAAACGGG
rnacentral:rRNA from 1 species